rnacentral:lncRNA from 1 species
UUUAAAGGAAUCUGGAGCUGAUGACUCAAGAAAUGUCCUUCCUCCUAAGAAAUUAUCCUCCCAUCUGAGAUUAGCAGCAUCUAAUCUCAGUUUUCUCCACUGCUGACCAGCAUCAGCAACACAGGCAGAAAAAAAAUUCUUUUGAGCCACAGUAAAACGGCUUCAACCGAAAGAGUGAAGAAACAGACUCUACUGAGCUGCUUUCUCCACAGAAACAAGAGUGCAGUACAGCCAAGCCAGGAUGGAAUUCUAGUCCUGUUUUGGGUAUCAAAUCCAAAUCCUGUAAGCAAAAGGUCAAGGAUUCAGAAGUGAAAGGAAAGACUGUGGCUCUAACUUUGCCAAAGUGAAAAGUACAGACCUCUGCCAUCAGUGAAGAAAGAACCCAGAUCUGAUAAGAGCUUCAAACAGGCUCAGCACCUCCUGGCACACAUAGAGCGGCAUCACGUUGCCCCAAGAAAAUCACAUCUCUACACAUCAGACCCUUUCCAGUCCAUUUUGCCCCAUCCACAAAAUGAAAAUGCCACUUUAUUUACUAAAUCUAAAAAUUCUGUUGGGAGGCAAAGGAGAGUUGAAGAAUUUGCAAUGAAUUUAACCUGCCAGGAGAGGGAGUUUAACACCAAGCUUCCAGAAACAGGCUGCGUGGUAGCUACAACGUCCAGAAACCCAGGUUUCAACGCGGCCCUGCUUCAAGACCCAAAGGAAAUUCAGCACCAGGCGGGUGAAGUGACUUACCUGUGCACAGCUGCACUCGCAGACUUCGGAGCCCCCACCUAAUUCUAAAAUGCUGUAUGUCCAUGAACUUAAUAACAGAAGGUCAGGGGAGAGACGUUCUGAGAGCAACGGAAAUCUAUCUUAAGAUAAAGAUGUUUCUGAGGCUGAUUUUUCAAGUCAAACUUAAAAAAA